rnacentral:rRNA from 1 species
UACGUAGGGUGCGAGCGUUAAUCGGAAUUACUGGGCGUAAAGCGUGCGCAGGCAGUUUUGCAAGCCGGAUGUGAAAUCCCCGGGCUUAACCUGGGAAUGGCAUUUGGGGACUGCAAGGCUGGAGUGCGGCAGAGGAGACUGGAAUUCCUGGUGUAGCAGUGAAAUGCGUAGAUAUCAGGAGGAACACCGAUGGCGAAGGCAGGUCUCUGGGCUGACACUGACGCUCAUGCACGAAAGCGUGGGGAGC